UACAGAGGGUGCAAGCGUUAAUCGGAAUUACUGGGCGUAAAGCGUGCGUAGACGGUUAUGUAAGUCAGAUGUGAAAGCCCCCGGGCUUAACCUGGGAAUGGCAUUUGAGACUGCAUAGCUAGGGUGCGGAAGAGGGAAGCGGAAUUUCCGGUGUAGCGGUGAAAUGCGUAGAUAUCGGAAGGAACACCAGUGGCGAAAGGCGGCU
rnacentral:rRNA from 1 species